GUGAGGAAUAUUGGUCAAUGGGCGAGAGCCUGAACCAGCCAAGUCGCGUGAAGGAAGAAGGAUCUAUGGUUCGUAAACUUCUUUUGCAGGGGAAUAAAGUGCAGGACGUGUCCUGUUUUGUAUGUACCCUGAGGAUAAGGAUCGGCUAACUCCGUGCCAGCAGCCGCGGUAAUACGGAGGAUCCGAGCGUUAUCCGGAUUUAUUGGGUUUAAAGGGUGCGUAGGUGGUUUGAUAAGUCAGCGGUGAAAGUUUGCAGCUUAACUGUAAAAAUGCCGUUGAAACUGUCGGACUUGAGUGUAAAUGAGGUAGGCGGAAUGCGUGGUGUAGCGGUGAAAUGCAUAGAUAUCACGCAGAACUCCGAUUGCGAAGGCAGCUUACUAAGCUACAACUGACACUGAAGCACGAAAGCGUGGGGAUCAAACAGGAUUAGAAACCCUUGUAGUCC
rnacentral:rRNA from 1 species